AGCGAACGCUGGCGGCAGGCCUAACACAUGCAAGUCGAACGAACCUUUCGGGGUUAGUGGCGGACGGGUGAGUAACACGUGGGAACGUGCCUUUAGGUUCGGAAUAACUCAGGGAAACUUGUGCUAAUACCGAAUGUGCCCUUCGGGGGAAAGAUUUAUCGCCUUUAGAGCGGCCCGCGUCUGAUUAGCUAGUUGGUUGAGGUAAUGGCUCACCAAGGCGACGAUCAGUAGCUGGUCUGAGAGGAUGAUCAGCCACAUUGGGACUGAGACACGGCCCAAACUCCUACGGGAGGCAGCAGUGGGGAAUCUUGCGCAAUGGGCGAAAGCCUGACGGAGCCAUGACGCGUGAAUGAUGAAGGUCUUAGGAUUGUAAAAUUCUUUCACCGGGGACGAUAAUGACGGUACCCGGAGAAGAAGCCCCGGCUAACUUCGUG
rnacentral:rRNA from 1 species